rnacentral:rRNA from 1 species
GUCUUUUUGAAAUAAAUUUAAAGUCUGACCUGCCCACUGAUGUAAUUAAAGGGCCGCGGUAUUUUGACCGUGCAAAGGUAGCAUAAUCAUUAGUUUUUUAAUUGAAAGCUUGUAUGAAUGGUUGGACGAAAUAUUUACUGUCUCAUAAAAAUUUAUAUUAGAAAUUAAUUUUUUUGUUAAAAAGCAAAAAUAAUUUUAGAGGACGAGAAGACCCUAUAGAGCUUUAUAAUUUUAUUAUUUAAUUUUUUAAGAAAAUUUUGAAUUUUAUAAAAAUAAUUAUUUUGUUGGGGUGACAGUAAAAUUUAUAAAACUUUUAUUAUAUUAUUACAUUGAUUAAUGAAUAUUUGAUCCAUUAUUAAUGAUUAAAAAAUUAAGUUACCUUAGGGAUAACAGCGUAAUUUUUUUUAAGAGUUCAUAUCGACAAAAAAGAUUGCGACCUCGAUGUUGGAUUAAGAAUUAUUUUUAGGUGUAGAAGUUUAAAGUUUAGGUCUGUUCGACCUUUGAAUUCUU